rfam:Nematostella vectensis strain CH2 x CH6 NEMVEscaffold_681_Cont31685, whole genome shotgun sequence.
GUCAGGAUGGCCGAGCGGUCUAAAGGCGCCAGACUCAAGGUUCAAUUCCUUCUCAUGAUGCAUUGUAGAGUGUUCUAGUCUCCGAAUGGAGGCGUGGGUUCGAAUCCCACUUCUGACA